rnacentral:rRNA from 1 species
GACUAACGCUGGCGGCGUGCCUAAUACAUGCAAGUCGAACGGGAUUCUUUGAUCAGCUUGCUGAGAGAAGGAUCUAGUGGCGGACGGGUGAGUAACGCGUGGGAAUCUGCCUCUUACUGGGGGAUAACAGUGGGAAACUACUGCUAAUACCGCAUAAGAUCUUCGGAUGAAAGGUGCAACUGCACCGGUAAGAGAUGAGCCCGCGUCCCAUUAGCUAGUUGGUGAGGUAAAGGCUCACCAAGGCGACGAUGGGUAGCCGGCCUGAGAGGGUGAACGGCCACACUGGGACUGAGACACGGCCCAGACUCCUACGGGAGGCAGCAGUAGGGAAUCUUCCGCAAUGGGCGCAAGCCUGACGGAGCGACGCCGCGUGAGUGAUGAAGGCCUUGGUCGUAAGCUCUGUCUUGAGGACGAAUAAGCCAGGGAGGUGGAAAGCCCUGGUGAUGACUGUACUCAAGGAGAAAGCUCCGGCUAACUACGUGCC